rnacentral:rRNA from 1 species
CGGAGGAUCCAAGCGUUAUCCGGAAUCAUUGGGUUUAAAGGGUCCGUAGGCGGUUUUGUAAGUCAGUGGUGAAAGCCCAUCGCUCAACGGUGGAACGGCCAUUGAUACUGCAAGACUUGAAUUAUUAGGAAGUAACUAGAAUAUGUAGUGUAGCGGUGAAAUGCUUAGAGAUUACAUGGAAUACCAAUUGCGAAGGCAGGUUACUACUAAUUGAUUGACGCUGAUGGACGAAAGCGUGGGGAGCGAACAGGAUUAGAUACCCUGGUAGUCCACGCCGUAAACGAUGGAUACUAGCUGUUCGAGAGCAAUCUUGAGUGGCUAAGCGAAAGUGAUAAGUAUCCCACCUGGGGAGUACGUUCGCAAGAAUG